GACGAACGCUGGCGGCGUGCUUAACACAUGCAAGUCGAGCGGUAAGGCCCUUUCGGGGGUACACGAGCGGCGAACGGGUGAGUAACACGUGGGUGACCUGCCCUCAGCUCUGGGAUAAGCCUGGGAAACUGGGUCUAAUACCGGAUAUGACUCCAUGACGCAUGUUGUGGGGUGGAAAGCCUUGUGCGGCUGAGGAUGGGCCCGCGGCCUAUCAGCUUGUUGGUGGGGUGANGGCCUACCAAGGCGACGACGGGUAGCCGGCCUGAGAGGGCGACCGGCCACACUGGGACUGAGACACGGCCCAGGCUCCUACGGGAGGCAGCAGUGGGGAAUCUUGCGCAAUGGGCGAAAGCCUGACGCAGCGACGCCGCGUGAGGGAUGACGGCCU
rnacentral:rRNA from 1 species